UACGUAGGGUGCGAGCGUUAAUCGGAAUUACUGGGCGUAAGCGUGCGCAGGCGGCUACGCACGUCCGUUGUGAAAUCGCUCGGCUCAACUGGCGGGGUCAGCGGAGUACGGCGUAGCUGGAGCAAGCUAGGGGCAAUGGAAUUCCCGGUGUAGUGGUGGAAUGCGUAGAUAUCGGGAGGAACACCAGUGGCGAAGGCGGUUGCCUGGAGCUUUGCUGACGCUGAGGCGCGAAAGCGUGGGAGCGAUCCGG
rnacentral:rRNA from 1 species